GACGAACGCUGGCGGCGUGCUUAACACAUGCAAGUCGAGCGGAAAGGCCCUGCUUUUGUGGGGUGCUCGAGUGGCGAACGGGUGAGUAACACGUGAGUAACCUGCCCUUGACUUUGGGAUAACUUCAGGAAACUGGGGCUAAUACCGGAUAGGAGCUCCUGCUGCAUGGUGGGGGUUGGAAAGUUUCGGCGGUUGGGGAUGGACUCGCGGCUUAUCAGCUUGUUGGUGGGGUAGUGGCUUACCAAGGCUUUGACGGGUAGCCGGCCUGAGAGGGUGACCGGCCACAUUGGGACUGAGAUACGCACCAGACUCCUACGGGAGGCAGCAGUGGGGAAUAUUGCACAAUGGGCGGAAGCCUGAUGCAGAAACGCCGCGUGCGGGAUGACGGCCUUCGGGUUGUAAACCGCUUUCGCCUGUGACGAAGCGUGAGUGACGGUAAUGGGUAAAGAAGCACCGGCUAACUACGUG
rnacentral:rRNA from 1 species